rnacentral:tRNA from 1 species
AAGAUUUUAAGUUAACGUAAACUAUGAGCCUUCAAAGCUUGCAAUGAAAGUGAUUUUCAAAUCUUA